CUCAACAUGCCAAACACACUCCGACUACACCACUCCACGAUUCAGGUACACACUCUGCACACUUUACUUUACACAUAUUUUGGAUUAUGCAGAUUACUGUUUUCGACAUGAUAAAUUAAAAAGAUUAAAAUAUUUCUAAUCAUGAUUAAUCUCAAUCUGUGAUAUUUCCUGAAAACUUGCAAUUAGUAUAAAAUCAUUUUAAAACCCUGUGUUACUUAAGUCAAUAUGGAAUAUGUGAUGGUAGAGUAUGAGUUUCUUAUUCUUGAUAUCAUUGUUGCUUGGAGAACUUAUUUCAAAAUAUUCAAAUUUCUAGCUACCAUCCUCAGUGUUUUAUAUGCCUGAUAAAACUGAAAUAUUAAUUAUGAUUAUAAAAGCUAUCUGCUCUGUAUUGAGUUUGUUCAAAAUGAGUUAGACCCUUGUUGAGAGAUUUAUCAUGCUCCCAAGAUCAAGACAUUAUUUCAGAAAGAUUCACUCUUCCGAAGUAUUAUUGCAUUAGAGGCAUGGGCUAUGCAAAAAUAGAAGAUAUUUCGAGGAAAUAAAAAGGAGCAAGUGCUCGACAACCUCGCAGAAAAAAUGGACAAGUGUCCGGCAGUAGAAUUAGGGGUACCUCGGUAUCCACUUAAAAAAAAUAUGAUAGCCCAUGGUCCCUCUAAUAAGCAAUAUGCCAGCAAGAGUUGACAAAGUUUUUAAUUUCUAAAGUCUUUGAUCUAAGAGUAUGACAUUCCCCUCCUCGGAUCCCGUUUUGAUCAGGCAAUAAAUGCAAAGUAAGUAUGCUUAAGAAUUUUUGCAAAAUAAAACAACCUCAGUGAGAUAUAUAUACAAAAGAUAAUGAGUGAUCUGAGAGAACCUAUGAGGAUAAAAAUGUAUGCUAACUUUCUUUUAAAAAUAUACAAAAAACUCCAAGUGACAGGAUUGAGAAGAAGGGAUCUUUACUCUUAAUCAUAUACUUCCCUGACUAUGGUACACAGUGAAAAUUUUAACACCCUGCAAAUAUAAAAUGCUUUAAAAUGUUUUACCCC
rnacentral:lncRNA from 1 species